CAGCAGCCACGGUAAUACGAAGGGGGCUAGCGUUGCUCGGAAUCACUGGGCGUAAAGGGUGCGUAGGCGGGUCUUUAAGUCAGGGGUGAAAUCCUGGAGCUCAACUCCAGAACUGCCUUUGAUACUGAAGAUCUUGAGUUCGGGAGAGGUGAGUGGAACUGCGAGUGUAGAGGUGAAAUUCGUAGAUAUUCGCAAGAACACCAGUGGCGAAGGCGGCUCACUGGCCCGAUACUGACGCUGAGGCACGAAAGCGUGGGGAGCAAACAGGAUUAGAUACCCGCGUAGUCCCUGUCUCUUAUAA
rnacentral:rRNA from 1 species